rnacentral:rRNA from 1 species
AUUGAACGCUGGCGGCAGGCCUAACACAUGCAAGUCGAACGAGUGGCGGACGGGUGAGUAAUGUCUGGGAAACUGCCUGAUGGAGGGGGAUAACUACUGGAAACGGUAGCUAAUACCUCAUACCAUCGUAUGUACCCAGAUGGGAUUAGCUAGUAGGUGGGGUAACGGCUCACCUAGGCGACUAUCCCUAGCUGGUCUGAGAGGCUGACCAGCCACACUGGAACGGAGACACGGUCCAGACUCAUACGUGAGGCAGCAGUGGGGAAUAUUGCACAAUGGGCGCAAGCCUGAUGCAGACAUGCCGCGUGUAGGAAGAAGGCCUUCGGGUUGUAAAGUACUCUCAGCGGGGAGGCGUUACCCGCAGAAGAAGCACCGGCUAACUCCGUGCCAGCAGCCGCGGUAAUAC